rnacentral:rRNA from 2 species
UGCAGUCGAGCGAAUGGAUUAAGAGCUUGCUCUUAUGAAGUUAGCGGCGGACGGGUGAGUAACACGUGGGUAACCUGCCCAUAAGACUGGGAUAACUCCGGGAAACCGGGGCUAAUACCGGAUAACAUUUUGAACUGCAUGGUUCGAAAUUGAAAGGCGGCUUCGGCUGUCACUUAUGGAUGGACCCGCGUCGCAUUAGCUAGUUGGUGAGGUAACGGCUCACCAAGGCAACGAUGCGUAGCCGACCUGAGAGGGUGAUCGGCCACACUGGGACUGAGACACGGCCCAGACUCCUACGGGAGGCAGCAGUAGGGAAUCUUCCGCAAUGGACGAAAGUCUGACGGAGCAACGCCGCGUGAGUGAUGAAGGCUUUCGGGUCGUAAAACUCUGUUGUUAGGGAAGAACAAGUGCUAGUUGAAUAAGCUGGCACCUUGACGGUACCUAACCAGAAAGCCACGGCUAACUACGUGCCAGCAGCCGCGGUAAUACGUAGGUGGCAAGCGUUAUCCGGAAUUAUUGGGCGUAAAGCGCGCGCAGGUGGUUUCUUAAGUCUGAUGUGAAAGCCCACGGCUCAACCGUGGAGGGUCAUUGGAAACUGGGAGACUUGAGUGCAGAAGAGGAAAGUGGAAUUCCAUGUGUAGCGGUGAAAUGCGUAGAGAUAUGGAGGAACACCAGUGGCGAAGGCGACUUUCUGGUCUGUAACUGACACUGAGGCGCG